rnacentral:tRNA from 1 species
GCACCCUUAGCUCAAUUGGAUAGAGUGUCGGUCUACGGAACCGAAGGUUGGGGAUUCGAACUCCUCAGGGUGCGCCA